GACGAACGCUGGCGGCGUGCUUAACACAUGCAAGUCGAACGAAGCGGCGAACGGGUGAGUAAUACGUGGGUAUCCUGCUCUCCUUUUUGGGAUAAGCCUUGGAAACGGGGUCUAAUACCGACUAAAGGGGGAUGGGCGAGGGGCCUAUCAGCUGGUUGGUGGGGGGAUGGGCUAACAAGGCGGUGACGGGUAGCCGGGCUGAGAGGGUGACCGGGAACAGUGAGACUGUGAAGCCGCCCAGACGCGGACGGGGUGGAGAAUUUGGGAAUAUGGCAGAAUGGGCGAAGGCGUGAUGCAGCGAGGCCGAGUGGGGGAUUAGGGCUGUCGGGUUGUAAACCUCUUUAGCUAGCGAACGGGUAGGUGGAGAAGAAGCGCCGGCUAACUACGUGCCAGCAGCCGCGGUAAUUC
rnacentral:rRNA from 1 species